AACGCUGGCGGCAGGCUUAACACAUGCAAGUCGAGCGGGGGAAGGUAGCUUGCUACUGGACCUAGCGGCGGACGGGUGAGUAAUGCUUAGGAAUCUGCCUAUUAGUGGGGGACAACAUCUCGAAAGGGAUGCUAAUACCGCAUACGUCCUACGGGAGAAAGCAGGGGAUCUUCGGACCUUGCGCUAAUAGAUGAGCCUAAGUCGGAUUAGCUAGUUGGUGGGGUAAAGGCCUACCAAGGCGACGAUCUGUAGCGGGUCUGAGAGGAUGAUCCGCCACACUGGGACUGAGACACGGCCCAGACUCCUACGGGAGGCAGCAGUGGGGAAUAUUGGACAAUGGGGGGAACCCUGAUCCAGCCAUGCCGCGUGUGUGAAGAAGGCCUUAUGGUUGUAAAGCACUUUAAGCGAGGAGGAGGCUACUUUAGUUAAUACCUAGAGAUAGUGGACGUUACUCGCAGAAUAAGCACCGGCUAACUCUGUGCCAGCAGCCGCGGUAAUACAGAGGGUGCGAGCGUUAAUCGGAUUUACUGGGCGUAAAGCGUGCGUAGGCGGCUUAUUAAGUCGGAUGUGAAAUCCCCGAGCUUAACUUGGGAAUUGCAUUCGAUACUGGUGAGCUAGAGUAUGGGAGAGGAUGGUAGAAUUCCAGGUGUAGCGGUGAAAUGCGUAGAGAUCUGGAGGAAUACCGAUGGCGAAGGCAGCCAUCUGGCCUAAUACUGACGCUGAGGUACGAAAGCAUGGGGAGCAAACAGGAUUAGAUACCCUGGUAGUCCAUGCCGUAAACGAUGUCUACUAGCCGUUGGGGCCUUUGAGGCUUUAGUGGCGCAGCUAACGCGAUAAGUAGACCGCCUGGGGAGUACGGUCGCAAGACUAAAACUCAAAUGAAUUGACGGGGGCCCGCACAAGCGGUGGAGCAUGUGGUUUAAUUCGAUGCAACGCGAAGAACCUUACCUGGCCUUGACAUACUAGAAACUUUCCAGAGAUGGAUUGGUGCCUUCGGGAAUCUAGAUACAGGUGCUGCAU
rnacentral:rRNA from 1 species